CUACACCUGCUGGCUGCCAUGGCUGAGGUGGGCCGUAGGGGGAUCAGCGACCCAGGCGCGCUUCUCCCACGGGGCUUCUGGGCUGCGGUCGAAGUGUGGCUGGAGAGGCCGCAGGUGGCCAACAAACGGCUUUGCGGCGCCCGCCUGGAGGCCCGCUGGAGCGCCGCCCUGCCCUGCGCUGAGGCCCGCGGCCCCGGGACUAGCGCAGGCUCGGAGCAGAAGGAGUGGGGUCCGGGACCCGGCGAGGGUUCCCCGGGAGGGGGCCCGGGUCCCAGGCCGCUAUCAGGACGCGAGCAGGGCACGGCAUGUUGCGAACUUGAGGAGGCCCAGCGCCAGUGCCAGCAAGAGGAGGCAAAGAGGGAAGCCGCCUCAGUGCCCCUGAGGGACUCCGGGCACCCCGGCCAUGCUGAAGGAAGGGAGGGCGACUUCCCCGCCGCAGAUCUGGAUUCGCUCUGGGAGGAUUUCUCCCGAAGUCUCGCCUGUGGCAAUUCGGAGAUGCUGGCCUUCCUCACCUGCUCCGGGGCGGGAUCGCAGCCGGAGGCGCAGCGUGAGCUCGACGUGGUUCUCAGAACCGUCAUCCCGAAAACUAGCCCACAUUGCCCCCUUACAACUCCCAGGAGGGAAAUAGUCGUGCAAGAUGUCCUCAAUGGAACCAUAACGUUUUUGCCUUUGGAAGAAGAUGAUGAGGGAAACUUAAAGGUUAAGAUGAGCAAUGUGUAUCAAAUUCAGCUCAGUCAUAGCAAAGAAGAAUGAAAGAUGGCAUUCAGAUGGAAUU
rnacentral:sRNA from 1 species